CUCUCUGUGGGGCUCCCUCUGCGGCUCUCUUGGGCUGAGUCCUGUAGUAGUUUCCUAGGGCACUGCAGUCCAACAAGUGCCAUGAAAUGGGAGGGUUAAAACAACAGAAAGUUGUUCUGUUAUAGUCGGAGGCUCGAAGCCUUAAAUCAAGGUGCUGGCAGGGUUGUACCCGCCCCGAGGCUGGGGAGAACCCUUCCUUGCCUCUUCCUGGCACCUGGUGGGGCCAUCAGCCCUCCACGUUCCUUGGCUGGCAUAUGCUUCAUCGCAGGGUAGCCUCUGUCGGCCCAUGGUGUUCUUCCUGUGUGUCUCUGUACCCUCACCUGGCAUUCUCUUCCUCACCUCUUUCUCUUCUUAUAAGGACACCAGCCACACUGGACAAAGGCCCACCCCAAUUGAGUGUGACCUCAUCUUAACUUGGUUACAUCUGCAGAGACGCUACUUGCAAGUAAGGUCACACUCGCAGGUACCAGGUUAAGACUUCAUAUCUUUCUGCACAGUUCAACCCGUGACGUUCCCUCAAGACCUCCUUUUUUUUUUUUGAGAUGGAGUCUCACUCUGUUGCCCAGGCUGGAGUGCAAUGGCAUGAUCUUGGCUCACUGCAACUUCUGCCUCCCAGGUUCAAGUGAUUCUCCUGCCUCAGCCUCCCAAGUAGCUGGGGUUACAGGCAUGUGCCAUCACGCCUGGCUAAUUUUUUUUGUAUUUUUAGUAGAGGUGGGGUUUCACCAUGUUGACCAGGCUUGUCUCGAACUCCUGACCUCCGGUGAUCUGCCCGCCUUGGCCUCCCAAAGUGCUAGGAUUACAGGCGUGAGCCACUGCGCCCGGUCCCUCAAGACAUCAUGACACUGGCUCUCUCCCAUGAGAUCCACACCUGGACCUUCAUCCAACCCCAGGUCCCAGCCCCAUCCCUGGCUGUCACCCGCGCUAGAGGGCAGAACACCCUUCUCCAAGACAGCCUUCUCUGCUCU
rnacentral:lncRNA from 1 species